rnacentral:rRNA from 1 species
AGAGUUUGAUCCUGGCUCAGGAUGAACGCUAGCUACAGGCUUAACACAUGCAAGUCGAGGGGAAACGACAUCGAAAGCUUGCUUUUGAUGGUCGUCGACCGGCGCACGGGUGAGUAACGCGUAUCCAACCUGCCCAUCACUUGGGGAUAACCUUGCGAAAGUAAGACUAAUACCCAAUGAUAUCUCUAGAAGACAUCUGAAAGAGAUUAAUGAUUUAUCGGUGAUGGAUGGGGAUGCGUCUGAUUAGGUAGUUGGUGAGGUAACGGCCCACCAAGCCGACGAUCAGUAGCCGGUCUGAGAGGAUGAACGGCCACCACUGGAACUGAGACACGGUCCAGACUCCUACGGGAGGCAGCA